GUGGGGAAUAUUCCGCAAUGGACGAAAGUCUGACGGAGCAACGCCGCGUGAGUGAUGAAGGUUUUCGGACUGUAAAGCUCUGUUGUUUAGGACGAAAGUGCCUGUUGCGAACAGUUACAGGUAUUGAUGGUACUAAACGAGGAAGCCACGGCUAACUACGUGCCAGCAGCCGCGGUAAUACGUAGGUGGCAAGCGUUGUCCGGAAUUAUUGGGCGUAAAGAGCAUGUAGGCGGAGAUUUAAGUCUGUUGUGAAAAUGCGGGGCUCAACCCCGUAUUGCGAUGGAAACUGAAUUUCUUGAGUGCAGGAGAGGAAAGGGGAAUUCCCAGUGUAGCGGUGAAAUGCGUAGAUAUCGGGAGGAACACCAGUGGCGAAGGCGGCUUCCUGGCACAAUACUGACGCUCAUGUGCGAAAGCUAGGGCAGCGAACGGGAUUAGAAACCCGGGUAGUCC
rnacentral:rRNA from 1 species